UACGGGGGGGGUAAGCGUUGUUCGGAAUUACUGGGCGUAAAGGGCUCGUAGGCGGCCAACUAAGUCAUACGUGAAAUCCCUCAGCUUAACUGGGGAACUGCGUGUGAUACUGGAGGGCUUGAGUGUGGGAGAGGGAUGCGGAAUUCCAGGUGUAGCGGUGAAAUGCGUAGAUAUCUGGAGGAACACCGGUGGCGAAGGCGGCAUCCUGGACCAUGACUGACGCUGAGGAGCGAAAGCCAGGGGAGCAAACGGG
rnacentral:rRNA from 1 species